UACGUAGGGGGCAAGCGUUGUCCGGAAUCAUUGGGCGUAAAGCGCGCGUAGGCGGCCCGGUAAGUCCGCUGUAAAAGUCCAGGGCUCAACCCUGGAAAGCCGGUGGAUACUGUCGGGCUAGAGUCCGGAAGAGGCGAGUGGAAUCCUGGUGUAGCGGUGGAAUGCGCAGAUAUCAGGAGGAACACCGAUGGCGAAGGCAGCUCGCUGGGACGUUACUGACGCUGAGACGCGAAAGCGUGGGGAGCAAACAGG
rnacentral:rRNA from 1 species